UCCCUUGUAGCUCAGUCGGUAAAGAAUCUGCCUGCAGUGCAGAAGACCCAAGUUCGAUCCUGGGUUGGGAA
rnacentral:tRNA from 1 species